rnacentral:hammerhead_ribozyme from 1 species
AUACAGAUGACGAGUCCCAAAUAGGACGAAACGCAUAUCGUGUAU